CGGACAACCCCGAGAAGGAGGACCAUUCUGACUAUUGUUACAAGUUUGAAAUCCUCCCGCCAAAAUAGAAUCAUAAUCACAGAGAAGAGAGGGAAGAGAGAUGAAGGAAUACCAGCUUCAAACUCCAAAGAUGGAACAUCAACACUAAAAAAUUCGCAGAUCCAAGUCCAUCUUCGAACUCUCUAACAAGCCGCACAUAAAUAGCCAAAAGUGCUUGAAUUCUGUAUUUACAUCGGUUUCAGAAGACUUGAUCGAGUUCUCUUCUAUCUCAGAGAUUUCCGAGGAUAAUCAACUCCGUGAAUCCGCAGAGAGCUUCAUCGCAUCACCGAAUCAGGUGAUUUCGCCUUCAUUGGAGACAUUUUCUCCAUCUGAUCUCACUCCAUUGUCGUCCACUAUCACUGUGGACAAGGAUGAAGUAGUUAAUGUCUCAGUCGGUCAUUGCAGAUCUGCUGAAUCCAAAAAGAGUGUGGACAUUGUCUCUGUGGAGGCAGAGGUGGUGGUGAAUCAUCUCAAGCAAGCUCAAAUUCAAGUUAUGAAUUCAACAAAUGCUGAUCUCCAAUCUAAGAAGCUUUUGAAUGCAUUAAUUGAGGUAGUUAUCGAGGAAUUCAAUGCUUUGCGUGAAGAGAAAGAUCGGUUAGGUGAACUUGUUUCCAUGAAAACUCGAGUUGUGUUUAUGAUUUUCUUGCUGUGGAUCGUUGCUGUUUCGAUGUUUCUUCACUUCAGUUCUCGGGGACAAAGCUCCUUCAGUGAACGUCCACCAACAUGAAAUCUAGUGUGGUGGUCCAUCAUAAAUUGAUUGUCACCGAGAUGCCGAACUUCCUUUGCAGGAUUAGUUGGGACUACGGUGAUAACAAGAAAUAACUACGGUUAUAGGACAUGUCUUUCAGACUUCUUUUGUUUUUUGGACUUUAUAGUUGAUAUUAGUUUAUUUUUUUAUUUUUUUUUUAUGACCUUAGUAUUGAUAAUUUGGCAUUGUGGAUUUUUCUAACUUUACAUUAUUUAAGUUGUUUUGACUAUUUGUUACUACUUUAAUGUUGGAGGUAUUGAUUAGUUAUGAAUUUAUGAUAGAUAGUUUG